AAACCAACAGGGAUUGCCUUAGUAGCGGCGAGUGAAGCGGCAAUAGCUCAAAUUUGAAAUCUGGCGUCUUCGGCGUCCGAGUUGUAAUUUGAAGAAGGUAUCUUUGAGGCUGGCUCUUGUCUAUGUUCCUUGGAACAGGACGUCACAGAGGGUGAGAAUCCCGUGCGAUGAGAUGCCCAGUUUCGUGUAAAGUUCCUUCGACGAGUCGAGUUGUUUGGGAAUGCAGCUCUAAGUGGGUGGUAAAUUCCAUCUAAAGCUAAAUAUUGGCGAGAGACCGAUAGCGAACAAGUACUGUGAAGGAAAGAUGAAAAGAACUUUGAAAAGAGAGUGAAAAAGUACGUGAAAUUGUUGAAAGGGAAGGGCUUGAGGUCAGACUUGGUUUACCAGGCCAGCAUCAGUUUGGAUGGCAGGAGAAUAGCAUUGGAAAGUGGCACGGCUUCGGUUGUGUGUUAUAGCCUUUGUUGAUACUGCCUGUCUAGACUGAGGACUGCGU
rnacentral:rRNA from 1 species